AUUAGUUCUGGCCUGUCAUUCCGAAUUCUUCAAAAAAUGGCUUAAAACCAGUUUCGAAACUAAGAUAUGCGAUAUGAAAAACGUGGAUCAUAAUUUCAUCACCAGCAAAAAUUUCUUUCAAGUGUUGAAGUUUCUUUAUACCGGCAGUAUAACGCUGAAGAAAGAGAAUGUAUCAGAAUUGGCGAAGAUAGCGGAGAAGUUAGAGAUCGAGAAAUUAACAUCAGUUUGCGAAUUGGCUAAAGAAAUAAUGACACACCAAGUGAAUAUUAAUAAGACUAAAAAGACGAAUAAAGACUCGAAUGAAGCUAAGGGUGAACUAAGUGUUGAGACCAAUUUGUAUAAAUAUGAUAUAAGCAAG